GACAGAGGGUGCAAGCGUUGUUCGGAAUUAUUGGGCGUAAAGCGCGCGUAGGCGGCGGCGUAAGUCGAAUGUGAAAUCCCAGGGCUUAACCCUGGAAGUGCAUUCGAAACUGCGUUGCUUGAGUUCCGGAGAGGGUGGCGGAAUUCCCAGUGUAGAGGUGAAAUUCGUAGAUAUUGGGAGGAACACCAGUGGCGAAGGCGGCCACCUGGACGGUGACUGACGCUGAGGCGCGAGAGCGUGGGGAGCAAACAGG
rnacentral:rRNA from 1 species